GCUCGAUCCCCUUUUCAUUUCGAACACGUAACCCAGAAGGCAACUGAGACUCUGAGAGAGAUAUCCAUGGCGAUUUGGAGCCCCCCCUCGCCGCUCGUUGGUUGGUGGUGACUCGUCGGCGCUCUCCCACCUGCUGCCCCGCUCCCUCCGCCUCGUCGUUGUUUCUCCAGCCCAAGGCCUGCAGCAUCUCUCCGCCCCGCAUCCACCUUGGCACCAUUAUUUCGCCGCUCGUCGGUUUUGUUCGAUUCGAGUCGCCUGAAGCCGAUGACCGAGGAGAUGACAGUCAAUUUGAUGGUUUACAGAGAGGUGUAGCCUUGAGUGUGGUGUGGUAGGCUGACUGCUGUACCCACGCGACAGGGUGUGUGUGCUCUGUAUUUUUUAGCAUGUCAUGCCGUGUGUGAGAGGUAUGUGUGACUCUAGUCUGAACUUUUCCCCCUGUUCUCUGUACCUAUCCCAACUUUCCUCUGCAUCCUCUCAUGUACUCUAUC
rnacentral:rRNA from 1 species